rnacentral:rRNA from 1 species
GACGAACGCUGGCGGCGUGCCUAAUACAUGCAAGUAGAACGCUGAAGGAGGAGCUUGCUCUUCUGGAUGAGUUGCGAACGGGUGAGUAACGCGUAGGUAACCUGCCUGGUAGCGGGGGAUAACUAUUGGAAACGAUAGCUAAUACCGCAUAACAGUAGAUGUUGCAUGACAUUUACUUAAAAGGUGCAAUUGCAUCACUACCAGUUGGACCUGCGUUGUAUUAGCUAGUUGGUGGGGUAACGGCUCACCAAGGCGACGAUACAUAGCCGACAUGAGAGGGGGAUCGGCCAGACUGGGACUGAGACACGGCCCAGUCUCCUACAGGGAGGAGCAGUAGGGAAACUUGAGCAAUGGGCGGAAGUCUGAGCGAGCAACGCCGCAUGAGGGAAGAAGGUUUUCGGAUCGUAAAGCUCUGUUGUAAGAGAAGAACGAGUGUGAGAGUGGAAAGUUCACACUGUGACGGUAUCUUACCAGAAAGGGACGGCUAACUACGUG